rnacentral:rRNA from 1 species
ACGGAGGCCUCAAGCGUUGUUCGGAAUUACUGGGCGUAAAGGGUGCGUAGGUGGCGAGGUAAGUCAGAUGUGAAAGCCCGGGGCUCAACCUCGGAAUAGCAUCCGAUACUACCUUGCUUGAGGGUUGGAGAGGAGACUGGAAUUCACGGUGUAGCAGUGAAAUGCGUGGAUAUCGUGAGGAAGGCCAAUAGCGAAGGCAGGUCUCUGGACAACUCCUGACACUGAUGCACGAAGGCCAGGGGAGCAAAAAG